rnacentral:rRNA from 1 species
UCGGGAAUUUUGGGCAAUGGGCGCAAGCCUGAUCCAGCCAUGCCGCGUGAGUGAAGAAGGCCUUCGGGUUGUAAAGCUCUUUUGUCAGGGAAGAAACGGUAGUAGCGAAUAACUAUUACUAAUGACGGUACCUGAAGAAUAAGCACCGGCUAACUACGUGCCAGCAGCCGCGGUAAUACGUAGGGUGCAAGCGUUAAUCGGAAUUACUGGGCGUAAAGCGUGCGCAGGCGGUUGUGUAAGUCAGAUGUGAAAUCCCCGGGCUCAACCUGGGAAUUGCAUUUGAGACUGCACGGCUAGAGUGUGUCAGAGGGGGGUAGAAUUCCACGUGUAGCAGUGAAAUGCGUAGAUAUGUGGAGGAAUACCGAUGGCGAAGGCAGCCCCCUGGGAUAACACUGACGCUCAUGCACGAAAGCGUGGGGAGCAAACAGGAUUAGAUACCCAAGUAGUCCCUGAGCGGGCUGGCAAGGCGCAU